GAUGAACGCUGGCGGCGUGCCUAAUACAUGCAAGUCGAGCGAACAGAUGAGGAGCUUGCUCCUCUGACGUUAGCGGCGGACAGGUGAGUAACACGUGGAUAACCUACCUAUAAGACUGGGAUAACUUCGGGAAACCGGAGCUAAUACCGGAUAAUAUAUUGAACCGCAUGGUUCAAUAGUGAAAGACGGUUUUGCUGUCACUUAUAGAUGGAUCCGCGCCGCAUUAGCUAGUUGGUAAGGUAACGGCUUACCAAGGCAACGAUGCGUAGCCGACCUGAGAGGGUGAUCGGCCACACUGGAACUGAGACACGGUCCAGACUCCUACGGGAGGCAGCAGUAGGGAAUCUUCCGCAAUGGGCGAAAGCUUGACGGAGCAACGCCGCGUGAGUGAUGAAGGUCUUCGGAUCGUAAAACUCUGUUAUUAGGGAAGAACAAAUGUGUAAGUAACUAUGCACGUCUUGACGGUACCUAAUCAGAAAGCCACGGCUAACUACGUG
rnacentral:rRNA from 1 species